rnacentral:rRNA from 1 species
UACAGAGGGUGCGAGCGUUAAUCGGAAUUACUGGGCGUAAGGCGCGCGUAGGCGGCUUUUCAAGUCGAUUGUGAAAUCCCCCGGGCUUAACCUGGGAACUGCAGUCGAGACUGUCUAGCUAGAGUAUGGGAGAGGGAAGUGGAAUUUCAGGUGUAGCGGUGAAAUGCGUAGAUAUACUGGAGGAACACCGGUGGCGAAGGCGGCAUCCUGGACCGGCACUGACGCUGAGGCGCGAAAGCUAGGGGAGCAAACGGG